rnacentral:rRNA from 1 species
GAUGAACGCUAGCGGCAGGCUUAACACAUGCAAGUCGAGGGAUAUUGGUUUUCGGACCAAGAGACCGGCGCACGGGUGCGUAACGCGUAUGCAAUCUACCUUUUGCAGAGGGAUAGCCCCAGAGAAAUUUGGAUUAAUACCUCAUAGUAUAGUACUUUGGCAUCAAGGAACUAUUAAAGUCACAACGGCAAAAGAAUGAGCAUGCGUCCCAUUAGCUAGUUGGUAAGGUAACGGCUUACCAAGGCUACGAUGGGUAGGGGUC